rnacentral:rRNA from 1 species
UACGUAGGGUGCGAGCGUUGUCCGGAAUUAUUGGGUCGUAAAGAGCUUGUAGGCGGUCUGUCGCGUCUGCUGUGAAAUCCGGGCUCAACCCCGGACUUGCAGUGGGUACGGGCAGACUAGAGGUGUGGUAGGGGAGACUGGAAUUCCUGGUGUGAGCGGUGAAAUUGCGCAGAUAUCAGGAGGAACACCGGUGGCGAAGGCGGUUCUCU